rnacentral:rRNA from 2 species
ACACUAUCAUUAACUGAAUCCAUAGGUUAAUGAGGCGAACCGGGGGAACUGAAACAUCUAAGUACCCCGAGGAAAAGAAAUCAACCGAGAUUCCCCCAGUAGCGGCGAGCGAACGGGGAGGAGCCCAGAGCCUGAAUCAGCAUGUGUGUUAGUGGAAGCGUCUGGAAAGGCGCGCGAUACAGGGUGACAGCCCCGUACACAAAAGCGCAUGUGCUGUGAGCUCGAUGAGUAGGGCGGGACACGUGGUAUCCUGUCUGAAUAUGGGGGGACCAUCCUCCAAGGCUAAAUACUCCUGACUGACCGAUAGUGAACCAGUACCGUGAGGGAAAGGCGAAAAGAACCCCGGCGAGGGGAGUGAAAAAGAACCUGAAACCGUGUACGUACAAGCAGUGGGAGCACAGGUUUACCUGUGUGACUGCGUACCUUUUGUAUAAUGGGUCAGCGACUUAUAUUCUGUAGCAAGGUUAACCGAAUAGGGGAGCCGGAGGGAAACCGAGUCUUAAUUGGGCGUUAAGUUGCAGGGUAUAGACCCGAAACCCGGUGAUCUAGCCAUGGGCAGGUUGAAGGUUGGGUAACACUAACUGGAGGACCGAACCGACUAAUGUUGAAAAAUUAGCGGAUGACCUGUGGCUGGGGGUGAAAGGCCAAUCAAACCGGGAGAUAGCUGGUUCUCCCCGAAAGCUAUUUAGGUAGCGCCUCGUGAAUUCAUCUCCGGGGGUAGAGCACUGUUUCGGCUAGGGGGCCAUCCCGGCUUACCAACCCGAUGCAAACUGCGAAUACCGGAGAAUGUUAUCACGGGAGACACACGGCGGGUGCUAACGUCCGUCGUGAAGAGGGAAACAACCCAGACCGCCAGCUAAGGUCCCAAAGUCAUGGUUAAGUGGGAAACGAUGUGGGAAGGCCCAGACAGCCAGGAUGUUGGCUUAGAAGCAGCCAUCAUUUAAAGAAAGCGUAAUAGCUCACUGGUCGAGUCGGCCUGCGCGGAAGAUGUAACGGGGCUAAACCAU